rnacentral:RNase_P_RNA from 1 species
GGAGUCGGCCCGAUAAUCGCUGGCGGGUUUUCCCGCUGGAGGAAAGUCCGGGCUCCAUAGGGCAGGGUGCCAGGUAACGCCUGGGCGGCGUGAGCCGACGGAAAGUGCCGCAGAAAAUACACCGCCGAUGGUCGCAAGACACAGGUAAGGGUGAAAUGGUGCGGUAAGAGCGCACCGCGCCCCUGGUAACAGGGGUGGCAGGGUAAACCCCACUCGGAGCAAGACCAAAUAGGGGAACAUUGGUGCGGCCCGCAUCGUUCCCGGGUAGGUCGCUUGAGGUGUGUGGUGACGCACAUCCCAGAUGAAUGAUUAUCCACGACAGAACCCGGCUUACAGGCCGACUCCACCC